rnacentral:rRNA from 1 species
GUAUGGCUUGAUCUCGGAAGCUACGCAGGGUCGGGCCUGGUUAGUACUUGUAUGGGAGACCACCUGGGAAUACCAGGUGCUGUAAGCU